rnacentral:piRNA from 1 species
UGUGUCCCUUGAUAUUCUCCC